rnacentral:rRNA from 1 species
CCUGAGAAACCCAAAAGANCGAAUGGGGAGAUUCAUCGUUAGCGNANNUGGUACGUGUGCGGUUCGCGAUGCCUGAGACUUCGGUUCCGCGGCACGCGUCCGCAUGUUUUUAUUACCUGGUAACGUCAGCGUGCACUUCUCCCCUAGUAGGACGUCGUGGCCCGUUGGGUGUCGGUCCACGGCCCGGUCGGGUGCCUGUCUCGUGUGCGCUUCACGGCGUCACUGCGGGGCAGACUACCGGUUACCUGGCCGGCUGCCCGGCAGUACUCGCAAGGUAUUCAGCCGCAAAUAUUCGAACUGCGUCCGGCCCGUCGCAAGCGGGGCCAGUGUUUCCCGAAUGUACGGAUCUAAUGCCUCCAUCGGGCCUGCCUAGCUGUUCGCUGACGGUGUCCUAGGACCGGCUGUAACAAAAUUAUGAUACCGGUCAGAGACGCUACUGCUGCUAGGUAUCCUACUGCUUUGGAUACCUUCAGGACCCGUCUUGAAACACGGACCAAGGAGUCUAACAUGUGCGCGAGUCAUUGGGACUUAUUAAGNCUAAAGGCGCAAUGAAAGUGANGGUCGUCCUUGCGCCGACCGAGGNACGAUAGGCCGGUCUCUCAANGGNUCGGUCCCG